rfam:Myotis davidii contig42963, whole genome shotgun sequence.
GGUAGUUCUCUGGUGACGCACCCAGGGAUCAGGCUCCCUCCUCUCUGGUUCUGGGUGCAUCACCCGAGAACUGCA